AUAUUUUUCUUAGGUCUUUUUUUUUUUUUUUGAUAUAUGAAUAUCUUAUUCGGUAUGUCCGAAAAGUUAUUCUUAUUCUGCUUAAGGAUUUUCUAAUAUGCUUGUAAGUAACAAGUUUGAUAUUUGCUUCUUCAAAGGUGUUGCUAUCCAUGAUUUGGGAUGAUAGGAAUUAUGCUAUUAUACUAUCGAAAGUACAAAAGUACAAAGCGAUUGAGCUAUCGAGUUUCCGCUGUUGGAUAAAAAGAUGUGCUGUUCGGAUGAUAGUGAUGCUAUAGGGUUGAGCGAUUGAUAUAUUAGUUGAAUAGUAUAAUCUAACGGAUAAAAAUGAUUAAAGGGUAGAUUUAACGGCAAAAAAUUUGAUAGUAUCAAGAGGUUGAUACUAUCAAUAGUAUGGUAGCCGGACUUGGAUGAUAGUAUAUUUUACUUAAAAGAUGAUUUAUCUUAUUUUGAAAGAAUGAUUUGAAACACACUCCUUAUCGAAUGUGAUACUUAUAUAUCGAAACAAGGCCUUAAGAAAUUUCUAUAGUUGAUUGAUAAGGUGUCUGAUCAAAUGUCUGAAAUGGAAUAUCAUAUUCGGUCUUCAAAUUACUUUUUUGUAAUAAAAUAAAUUAGCACGUAGAUAAAAUAUAUGCUAUUUUACUAAAUU
rnacentral:lncRNA from 1 species